UGUCUCUUCCCCUUGUUUGUUUCUUGUGGGUGAAUGUGGGCGGGGUUUCCAAUCAACAGGCAGCACCAGGUGAAGCCAUUCACUAAUCAACCCUCUACUACAAAGCCUCUGGAUUUCCUCCUACUCAUCACCAGAUCAUACUUCAGUUUUCAGUGAGAUUGCCGUGCAUGCUUCCCGCUCUCGUGCUGAUCGCUUCCCUGUCUGCUGCUGAACCUGCCUGCCUAUGCCUGAGCUCCAGUUACGCUCUGUGUGAGUACGCCGGAGAGAGGGACUGCUGCGCUCUGUACUAACGGUGCCAUUAGCACAGCGUUAACUCCAAAUAAAAGACUUGUAUUGUCACACUC